GAAACGGCCCUUUUCAGGGCCACAAAUUUGUCAACGAGAUAGAAU
rfam:Daphnia magna strain Xinb3 contig33483, whole genome shotgun sequence.